rnacentral:rRNA from 1 species
AUUGAACGCUGGCGGCAGGCCUAACACAUGCAAGUCGAGCGGUAGCACAGGAGAGCUUGCUCUCCGGGUGACGAGCGGCGGACGGGUGAGUAAUGUCUGGGAAACUGCCUGAUGGAGGGGGAUAACUACUGGAAACGGGAGCUAAUACCGCAUAACGUCGCAAGACCAAAGAGGGGGACAUUCGGGCCUCUUGCCAUCAGCUGGGGCCAGAUGGUAUUAGCUAGUAGGUGGGGUAACGGCUCACCUAGGCGACGAUACCUAGCUGGUCUGAGAGGAUGACCAGCCACACUGGAACUGAGACACGGUCCAGACUCCUACGGGAGGCAGCAGUGGGGAAUAUUGCACAAUGGGCGCAAGCCUGAUGCAGCCAUGCCGCGUGUAUGAAGAAGGCCUUCGGGUUGUAAAGUACUCUCAGCGGGGAGGAAGGUGUUGUGGUUAAUAACCACAGCAAUUGACGUUACCCGCAGAAGAAGCACCGGCUAACUCCGUGCCAGCAGCCGCUGUAA